rnacentral:rRNA from 1 species
UGAGGAACAUGACCUUCGGCGGGGGAUAGCCGGCCCAACGGCCGGGUAAUACCGCGUACGACCACAUGGGGACAUCCCUGAGUGGUGAAAGCAGCAAUGCGCCGAUGGAGUGCCUCGCGGCCUAUCAGCUAGUUGGUGAGGUAACGGCUCACCAAGGCGACGACGGGUAGCUGGUCUGAGAGGAUGGCCAGCCACAUUGGGACUGAGACACGGCCCAGACCUCUACGGGAG